UCCCGAAUAGCUCAGUUGGUUAGAGCAUCUGACUGUUAAUCAGAGGGUCCUUGGUUCGAGUCCAGUUUCGGGAG
rnacentral:tRNA from 1 species